AGCGGAAUUUGGGAGCUUGCUCCCGUAAUUUAGCGGCGGACGGGUGAGUAACACGUGGGCAACCUGCCUGUAAGACUGGGAUAACUUCGGGAAACCGGAGCUAAUACCGGAUAAUUCUUUUCCUCUCAUGAGGGAAAGCUGAAAGAUGGUUUCGGCUAUCACUUACAGAUGGUCCCGCGGCGCAUUAGCUAGUUGGUGAGGUAAUGGCUCACCAAGGCAACGAUGCUGUAGCCGACCUGAGAGGGUGAUCGGCCACACCUGGGACUGAGACACGGGCCCAGACUCCUACGGCAGGCAGCAAGUAGGGAAUCUUCCCGCAAUGGACGAAAAGUCUGACGGAGCAACCCCGCGUGAGUGAUGAAGGUUUCCGG
rnacentral:rRNA from 1 species